rnacentral:lncRNA from 1 species
CAGCUUCAUAUCAAACAGGGUUCUGUUUCAUCUCACAGGCUGUGCCCAUUUUCAUGGUAGGGACACUUCAUCUCAGCUUCUUUGACGUAGUUGAUUUAUUGCCUCACAUCUCUCAAACUAUGCUGCAUCUGUAAGCCUUGCAUUAAUAAGUAUGCUGGUUGAAUGGAUUGCUCAAGGGGGAGAGGAGAGGAGGAUCUAGGAGGCAGAGAAGACAAUGAAGCAUGGAAAAGAUGAAAACUUCAAUUCCUCCUGAUUUGCCCGAGGAAGUCACCUAGGGAAUCAAGAAAACAGCAGAUUCUACCCAGGGCUCCCGGCUCUGGACCAACAGGUGCUGAAAAGAUUUUAAAUCUUCAGGUGCAGUUAAAUCUCGGGAAGUGGCAAGAGUUCCCACUCUGCUCCCAGGCUCUGUCUUCAGUUGCUGAUUUAUAGUUCUACUAAUCAGAGCCUAUGAAAUCAUGUUUCCUGGAGCAAGAUGCCCCUGUGGCUGCACUUGGGAAGUUUUGAUAUCUUGAAUGCUCUGCAGAUACCUCAUAUAAAAAUCAAAUGCUAU